rnacentral:rRNA from 1 species
GACGAACCGUGCGAACGUUAUUCGGAAUCACUGGGCUUAAAGGGUGCGUAGGCGGGCCGUCUAGUCAGGGGUGAAAUCCUCCAGCUCAACUGGAGAAGUGCCUUUGAUACUGGCGGCCUCGAGGGAGGUAGGGGCGUGCGGAACUUCCGGUGGAGCGGUGAAAUGCGUAGAUAUCGGAAGGAACACCGGUGGCGAAAGCGGCGCGCUGGACCUCUUCUGACGCUGAGGCACGAAAGCCAGGGGAGCAAACGGG